rfam:Ovis aries breed Texel chromosome 3, whole genome shotgun sequence.
UCCCUAGUGGCUUAGAGGGUAGAGCGUCUGCCUGCAAUGCAGGAGACCCGGGUUCGAUCCCUGGGUUUGGAA